rnacentral:rRNA from 1 species
AUACGGAGGGUGCAAGCGUUAAUCGGAAUUACUGGGCGUAAAGGGCGCGUAGGCGGCUCUGUAAGUCGGGUGUGAAAGCCCCGGGCUCAACCCGGGAACUGCAUUCGAUACUGCAUAACUAGAGACAGGUAGAGGCAAGCAGAAUUCCGGGUGUAGUGGUGAAAUGCGUAGAUAUCCGGAGGAAUAUCAGUGGCGAAGGCGACUUGCUGGACUAAUACUGACGCUGAGGAGCGAAAGCGUGGGGAGCAAACGGGAUUAGAAACCCCAGUAGUCC